rnacentral:misc_RNA from 1 species
AAAGUCGAAGCCGCAGCCG